CAUAAUACGUUUCCCGUGUGAUACUCUCUUAAGCUUUCAAUUUAGUUUAGAUAGGUGUAGCUCUGACAUCCACUACCACGGCAUACCAGGCAGCACCCAUGAAGUAUACAAAAGGUUGAGCAAAUACGAUUUAUAAACAAGUAGAAAAUAAAACAUUUGUACACCGUCCCGUCAAAACUUGAAUACAGAUCAGUUAAUUAUUAAUGAGUUGCGUGUAAAUAAUUAACUGACGUGUGGAGGCGAGUUCUGUAUGCGUAAUGAUUGCACAUUCUAGCAAUGACACUAGUCACAUGUGAUUAUUGUACAAUAAUUGUCCACAUUUCGGUAAAAGCAUCUCAAUGUUAAGUGAAAAUACACCUCUGUUUGUUACUAUUAAAAUAAUAUUCAAUUAAAAAUUUCAAGCUUUCUUUAAAUUGAAUCGGAUAGGGCGAAUCCGACGUUCUGUCACAAAAUUUGUAUAUAUUCUACAUCUCAAAAUUGAGAAAAAAGUUUUAAUAAAUAUAAGUUCCAAAAUUAUCACUUUUUAAGGUACAAUUACUUUUAGUUAUAGCGCGAAUCAUACGCGUGAAUUAUUCGAAAAUGAUACACGAAGUAAAAUAAAUGUGAAGAAAUCUUGUCAACAACUUUAUCUGACCUUCUGUCACGUAUCAUGACUUGCUUACCGGUAAUAUCAGUUUUAUCAGAUCUCUGCAAGUGAAGCGUUGUUUCUGUACUUUCUCUCUCGAUUUUUAAUAUUCGUUUUUAAUAUUCAUUUAUAAUAUGCAUAAUAAAUAAAUUUUUAUGUUUAAACAUAUAAAACAAUCACUGAUAUGACGGCUAACAGUGGAAGUUAGUUGAGAAGUAAUACUUCAAAUAAAAGUGACUACAUUUCAAAAGAUAAUUACCUCUCCUUGCAAGUCUGGUAUCGGAGUCGGUGUCCACGAAUAAUUUCAUGUGAAACAAGUCUCGGAUCUUGGGGAAGUAGAAUACCAGUAUUCCUUCGAACAGCACCACAUCAGCAGGAUAUAUCGUGUGCCGCCGGAGACACCGAUCAGGAAGGGUGUCUUGCUUUCGACGCCGUUGAACUUGCCGUUUAUACCAAAGGACAUCUUUCGCGUGAUGCCUACGUUUGAUGGUAGAUCUGCCAUCGUCGAACGCGUGGG